rnacentral:lncRNA from 1 species
AGAGGCCCUUCGUACUUGCUGGCCUGCCUGUUAGCUCGGAGCCCAGCCUGGAGCUGCACAUGGGCUCUGCUGUGUACUGGGGGUGGUGGGGCAGGGUGGUUGGCGCCCUUGCCUCCAGCAGCACCCAGGCUGCAAGUUCCCCAGGUUGUGAAGACCAAAGAGAGAAGAAAAGCAGGGACUUCCUUUAUUUUUUGGGGGAGGCUUCUCAUGGGAGCUGCCUUGGGCACCAGCCUAAGGGGCUGAGAGACAGGCUGGUGUGUGGAGCAUGGAGAGCGAGGCUAGGCAGAGAGGCAUCCUCUCAGGGUUCCUCACCCUGGGGGCCCAGUGGCAGGUUACAGAAGGGAAAGGUCCUCAUCACUCCUUGCGGAGUCGAGGGUUGCGUGGUCUGGGAAGGCCGGGGGCGAGGACUGUGUCUUCCUGACCACCUGGAGUGUGGAAACAGAGCUGAGGAUGCCGGUGGGUUCUGCUCAGGGACUGGGGCCCACAUGUGGGAGAUGGUCUCACAGACCCAAGAUCUUGAGAGCAGACCCUGCUCCCCAAGCCCACUCUGCAUGUGGGGUGUCCCCAGGGUCCCAUGGAGCUCUGGAGUCAUGGAGUCACCUUGCCUUGAUUAGUUCUUUGUGCUGUUUGAGUUUACUUAAAGGGUGUAGGGCAGGAGGAGGCAGUGACUGUGGGGGUUUGAGAGGGGAGGCUUCUCAUGGGAGCUGCCUUGGGCACCAGCCUAAGGGGCUGAGAGACAGGCUGGUGUGUGGAGCGUGGAGAGCGAGGCUAGGCAGAGAGGCAUCCUCUCAGGGUUCCUCACCCUGGGGGCCCAGUGGCAGGUUACAGAAGGGAAAGGUCCUCAUCACUCCUUGCGGAGUCGAGGGUUGCGUGGUCUGGGAAGGCCGGGGGCGAGGACUGUGUCUUCCUGACCACCUGGAGUGUGGAAACAGAGCUGAGGAUGCCGGUGGGUUCUGCUCAGGGACUGGGGCCCACAUGUGGGAGAUGGUCUCACAGACCCAAGAUCUUGAGAGCAGACCCUGCUCCCCAAGCCCACUCUGCAUGUGGGGUGUCCCCAGGGUCCCAUGGAGCUCUGGAGUCAUGGAGUCACCUUGCCUUGAUUAGUUCUUUGUGCUGUUUGAGUUUACUUAAAGGGUGUAGGGCAGGAGGAGGCAGUGACUGUGGGGGUUUGAGAGGAUUUUGGAGGACAGAUCUAUGGGUGGUGGUCCCUGAGGGGUUCAGGGUGGGCAUCCCUGUGUGUAUGANNNNNNNNNNUCCCCUCUCUCACUCAGCCCCUGCUCUCUGUAGGAGCGGGAUUUCUCCUCCAUCCAGGUGGGGGUGGUUUCUGACACCUUGGCCUGGCCUCCUGCUCUCACCGUCUGUGCCCAGGGGCAGGGCCUUGUCGUGGAGCCCCCACAAGAUGAGGGCCCCUGAGUGAGGGUGGGGGGUCAGCAGGGUGCCCCGUUUCCUGACCCUGCUGCCUGGGGAGGCUCCCAGUUGAGCGGGAGCUGAGAGAGGCCCUUCGCACUUGCUGGCCUGCCUGUUAGCUCGGAGCCCAGCCUGGAGCUGCACAUGGGCUCUGCUCUGUACCGGGGGUGGUGGGGCAGGGUGGUUGGCGCCCUUGCCUCCAGCAGCACCCAGGCUGCAAGUUCCCCAGGUUGUGAAGACCAAAGAGAGAAGAAAAGCAGGGACUUCCUUUAUUUUUGGGGGGAGGUUUCUCAUGGGAGCUGCCUUGGGCACCAGCCUAAGGGGCUGAGGGACAGGCUGGUGUGUGGAGCGUGGAGAGCGAGGCUGGGCAGAGAGGCAUCCUCUCAGGGUGCCUCGCCCUGGGGGCCCAGCGGCAGGUUACAGAAGGGAAGGGUCCUUGUCAGUCCUUGCGGAGUCGAGGGUUGCGUGGUCUGGGAAGGCCGGGGGUGAGGACUGUGUCUUCCUGACCACCUGGAGUGUGGAGACAGAGCUGAGGAUGCCUGUGGGUUCUGUCAGGGACUGGGGCCCACAUGUGGGAGACGGUCUCACAGACCCAAGACCUUGAGAGCAGACCCUGCUCCCCAAGCCCACUCUGCAUGUGGGGUGUCCCCAGGGUCCCAUGGAGCUCUGGAGUCAUGGAGUCACCUUGCCUUAAUUAGUUCUUUGUGCUGUUUGAGUUUACUUAAAGGGUGUAGGGCAGGAGGAGGCAGUGACUGUGGGGGUUUGAGAGGAUUUUGGAGGACAGAUCUAGGGGUGGGGGUCCCUGAGGGGUUCAGGGCAGGCAUCCCUGUGUGUAUGAUGGACUGAGGGCAGGGAGUGCCGUGCCACUGUCCCAGGCCACUGGGACAGGAGGACUCUGCCUCCCCUCUGGGAUUGUUCAUUUCGGAGACCCUGGCCUCCUGGCAGUGAAGCUGCAGGUCUCAGUGCAUCAGAGAUUUCGAGUUUCUCUCCCUGCCCACCUGGGAGAGGUGUGAGCAGACCCCGGAGGCUUAGCCAGUGGGGAGGAGGGGAGGGCCCAUCUGCAGGUUGCCACAGCAACCAGCUACUUCUUUCCCACAAGGCUCCAGGCUGGGAGACAGCAGAGGGCCUCUGUGUUGACCCUCCAGGCCCCAAGACCUGAUCCCAGGCAGGGGAACAGGCUCUAGGUUCUGGGGAGGGGCUGGUCCAGUGGAGGGUGGGGAGGGAGCUGCAGGCAGGCUCCCCAUAGCUCAGUCCAGGGGUCCGAGAGAUCUGGGGGAGAAGGGUGGGAUGGGGGGUCUAUUCUAGGGGUGUAAAUGCCCCAAUCUCUGAGGAAGGGGGUGCUCUGAUGGAGAACAACACACGUGCCACACACUCAUGCAGACAUCAUACAACAGGUGCAGCAUACAUGCAAACACACCACACACACCAUGGACACCACACAUGGCACAUGCAUCAGACAUGCA